rnacentral:rRNA from 1 species
AUUGAACGCUGGCGGCAUGCUUUACACAUGCAAGUCGAGCGGCAGCGCGGGGGCAACCCUGGCGGCGAGCGGCGAACGGGUGAGUAAUGCAUCGGAACGUAUCCUCGAGUGGGGGAUAACCCAGCGAAAGUUGGGCUAAUACCGCAUGAGCUCUGAGGAGGAAAGCGGGGGACCUGCGAGGGCCUCGCGCUGGAGGAGCGGCCGAUGUCCGAUUAGCUAGUUGGUGGGGUAAAGGCUUACCAAGGCGACGAUCGGUAGCUGGUCUGAGAGGAUGAUCAGCCACACUGGGACUGAGGCACGGCCCAGACUCCUACGGGAGGCAGCAGUGGGGAAUUUUGGACAAUGGGGGCAACCCUGAUCCAGCCAUGCCGCGUGAGUGAAGAAGGCCUUCGGGUUGUAAAGCUCUUUCGGACGGAACGAAAUGGGCGGGACUAAUACUCCUGUCUGAUGACGGUACCGGAAGAAGAAGCACCGGCUAACUACGUG